rnacentral:rRNA from 1 species
AGAGUUUGAUCCUGGCUCAGAAUCAACGCCGGCGGCGUGCCUAACACAUGCAAGUCGAACGAGAAAGUGGAGCAAUCCAUGAGUAAAGUGGCGACCGGGUGAGUAACACGUGACUAACCUACCUUCGAGUGGGGGAUAACCUCGGGAAACCGGGGCUAAUACCGCAUAAUAUCCACGGAUCAAAGGAGCAAUUCGCUUGAAGAGGGGGUCGCGGCUGAUUAGCUAGUUGGCGGGGUAAUGGCCCACCAAGGCUUUGAUCGGUAGCCGGCCUGAGAGGGCGCACGGCCACACUGGAACUGAAACACGGUCCAGACUCCUACGGGAGGCAGCAGUGGGGAAUUUUGCGCAAUGGGGGAAACCCUGACGCAGCAACGCCGCGUGGAGGAUGAAGUCCCUUGGGACGUAAA